rnacentral:rRNA from 1 species
UGCCGCGUGUGUGAAGAAGGCCCUCGGGUUGUAAAGCACUUUCAGUGAGGAAGAAAGCUUGUCGGUUAAUACCCGGCAAGGACGACAUCACUCACAGAAGAAGCACCGGCUAACUCCGUGCCAGCAGCCGCGGUAAUACGGAGGGUGCGAGCGUUAAUCGGAAUUACUGGGCGUAAAGCGUGCGUAGGCGGCUUGGUAAGCCGGUUGUGAAAGCCCCGGGCUCAACCUGGGAACGGCAUCCGGAACUGUCAGGCUAGAGUGCAGGAGAGGAAGGUAGAAUUCCCGGUGUAGCGGUGAAAUGCGUAGAGAUCGGGAGGAAUACCAGUGGCGAAGGCGGCCUUCUGGACUGACACUGACGCUGAGGUACGAAAGCGUGGGUAGCAAACAGGAUUAGAUACCCUGGUAGUCCACGCCGUAAACGAUGUCGACUAGCCGUUGGGGUCCUCGAGACCUUUGUGGCGCAGUUAACGCACUAAGUCGACCGCCUGGGGAGUACGGCCGCAAGGUUAAAACUCAAAUGAAUUGACGGGGGCCCGCACAAGCGGUGGAGCAUGUGGUUUAAUUCGAUGCAACGCGAAGAACCUUACCUACCCUUGACAUCGUGCGAACUUGGUAGAGAUACCUUGGUGCCUUCGGGAGCGCACAGACAGGUGCUGCAUGGCUGUCGUCAGCUCGUGUUGUGAAAUGUUGGGUUAAGUCCCGUAACGAGCGCAACCCUUGUCCCUAUUUGCCAGCGAUUCGGUCGGGAACUCUAGGGAGACUGCCGGUGACAAACCGGAGGAAGGUGGGGACGACGUCAAGUCAUCAUGGCCCUUACGGGUAGGGCUACACACGUGCUACAAUGGCCGGUACAGUGGGUUGCAAAGCGGCGACGUGGAGCUAAUCUCAUAAAGCCGGUCUCAGUCCGGAUCGGAGUCUGCAACUCGACUCCGUGAAGUCGGAAUCGCUAGUAAUCGUGCAUCAGAAUGGCACGGUGAAUACGUUCCCGGGCCUUGUACACACCGCCCGUCACACCAUGGGAGUGGACUGCACCAGAAGUGGUUAGCCUAACUUCGGAGGGCGAUCACCACGGUGUGGUUCAUGACUGGGGUGAAGUCGUAACAAGGUAGCCGUAGGGGAACCUGCGGCUG